rnacentral:rRNA from 1 species
CAGCGGAGGGAUCAUUAGCGAGUUAAUUACAAACUCCAAACCCAUGUGAACAUACCUACUGUUGCCUCGGCAGGCCGUGCUGCGCGGCUGGAUCGCCCACCCCCCGCGUGGGUAGCUACCCUGGAGUAGCUACCCUGUAGCGGGAGCGGCCCGCCCCGCGGCGCGCCAACAGGCCUGCCGAAGGACCCCUAAACUCUGUUUUGCACCUGUAUCUCUGAGUUUAUUAUACAAAUAAGUUAAAACUUUCAACAACGGAUCUCUUGGUUCUGGCAUCGAUGAAGAACGCAGCGAAAUGCGAUAAGUAAUGUGAAUUGCAGAAUUCAGUGAAUCAUCGAAUCUUUGAACGCACAUUGCGCCUAAUAGUAUUCUGUUAGGCAUGCCUGUUCGAGCGUCAUUUCAACCCCCAAGCCCUAUUUGCUUGACGUUGGGAGUUUACGGAGACGUAAUUCCUCAAAUAUAGUGGCGGAGCUAGGUCGUGCUCUAAGCGUAGUAACCAAAUUCUCGCUUCUGAAGCCGGCCCGGGUCCUGCCGUAAAACCCCCUAUAUUUUUCUGGU